CAGGGAAUCUUCCACAAUGGACGCAAGUCUGAUGGAGCAACGCCGCGUGAGUGAAGAAGGUUUUCGGAUCGUAAAGCUCUGUUGUUGGUGAAGAAGGAUAGAGGCAGUAACUGGUCUUUAUUUGACGGUAAUCAACCAGAAAGUCACGGCUAACUACGUGCCAGCAGCCGCGGUAAUACGUAGGUGGCAAGCGUUGUCCGGAUUUAUUGGGCGUAAAGCGAGCGCAGGCGGAAUGAUAAGUCUGAUGUGAAAGCCCACGGCUCAACCGUGGAACUGCAUCGGAAACUGUCAUUCUUGAGUGCAGAAGAGGAGAGUGGAAUUCCAUGUGUAGCGGUGGAAUGCGUAGAUAUAUGGAAGAACACCAGUGGCGAAGGCGGCUCUCUGGUUUGCAACUGACGCUGAGGCUCGAAAGCAUGGGUAGCGAACAGG
rnacentral:rRNA from 1 species